CUAGCUUCAGCGAUGGAUCGGUCGAUUCGCGUAUCGAUGAAAAACGCAGCUAGCUGCGUUAUUUACCACGAAUUGCAGACGCUUA
rnacentral:rRNA from 1 species